UCAUAGAGCGACUGCAUGUACUCGAGAGCCAUGCCAUCCCAAGCGGGCGCCAUCGGCCACAAGAGGAGGAGGAGGAGCGAGGCGUGGGUCCGGCGGCGCGUGCGCAGUAUUGAUCGCCCCGCGCGGCGCCGCUCCGUGUCCCGCCCCGCGUCCCGCCAUCUUGUCAAGCUGUUGGGCCUGUGGUGUAGUCUCGUACUUUCUCAAGCCAUGGCGAUGGAGGCGCAGGCUCAAUCCAAGAACCUAGAGAACGUGAAGAAAGAGCCGCAGACGCCCAAGACCAAUGAAAACAGUGAAAACGUCAACAGUUUCCGCGGCGGCGGUCGAGGCGGCCGAGGCGGAUUCCGAGGAAACCGGGGUGGCGGCGGCGGCCCCGGCGGCGGCCGAGGCGGCGGCCCCGGCGGCAACGUGCAGACCUCCACCCCCGUCCCCGGCGGCAUCGGCAGCCUAGGCACCACCGCCCCGGUUAUCCCCGGCGGCAUAGGCGCCUUGGAGGGAAGCCGGGGCGGCGGCCACCACGGCGGGCGUGGUGCUGGUGGCGGCGGCGGCGGCGCCCCCCACCACGCCAACAGCAAUGCCGGCCACGCCAACAGCACCCCCAACAGCAACGACUCCCGGGGCGAACACCACCACCGGGGCGGUGCCGGUGGGGGCGGCGGCUUCUACAGGGGCGGCAGAGGGGGUCGUGGAGGCCGGGGAGGCGGCGGUGGCGGCGGCUAUAGUGGCGAUCGAGGCGACAGGGGACAGGACAGAAUCAUUGAACGUUUGAAGCAGCUGGCAGGGCCUCUUAUUGACCUUCCCCCUCGUGAAGAAACUGUCCGUAAAUUCUCCAAUCACUGUCGGCUGUGGGUGGGUAACCUGCCGCUGGACAUCAAGGAGGAUGACGUGAAGGAGCUGUUCAAGCCCUUCGGAGAGUAUGAUGAAGUGUACUUUGACAAGAACAAGGGAUUUGCCUUCGUUCGUAUGGACUACAAGAGUAAUGCAGAAAAGGCACGCCAGGAGCUACACAUGAAGGACUACAAGGGUCGUCAGCUCAAAAUUCGCUUCUCGUCUCCUGGGACGGCACUCAAGAUCCGCAACCUUUCCACCUGGGUUACUAAUGAACUUCUGGAAAAGGCCUUCUCGGUGUUUGGUGAGCUGGAAAAGGCCAUUGUGGUGACUGAUGAGAGGGGACGAGCCACUGGUGAUGGCAUUGUGGAGUUCUGUAAAAAGCCCUCAGCCAACCUGGCCCUCAAGAAGUGUAAUGAAGGGUGCUUCUUCAUGGUUGCGUCCCCACGUCCAGUUAUCGUUGAACAGAUGGCUCUUGUUGACGACAACGAGGGGAUGAGUGAAAUAAACAUCAACAAACGUAACCCUGAGUAUGUGAAGGAGAGGCAGCAAGGCCCGCGCUUCGCCCAUCCAGGCUCCUUUGAGUAUGAGUAUGGUCUUAAGUGGAAACAGUUGUACGAGUUGUUUGAUAAGAAACGAGAUGCUUUAGAAAAGGAGCUCCAGGAUGAGAAGAGGAAGCUGGAGGAGCAAAUCGAGUACGCCAAAUAUGAGCAUGAAACAGAGAUGCUCCGUGAACAGUUGAGGCAGAGAGAGGAGAUGAAUCAGAGGACCAAGUCUGACUAUGAGGCACGGCAGCGUGAAUGGGAGGAACACCGUCGCACAGAGGAGGAGAGACAGCGCCGGCAGGAGGAAGAACUCUCCCAGAAGUUUCGGCAGCAGGAGGAGGAACUGAGGCGCCGGCAAGAAGAAAACAGGCUCUUCAUGCAGGAGCGUGCUGGUGAUUUAAUGAAGGGUGAGAACAGCCAGGAUAGCUUUGGCAGCAGUGGAUACCAGGGUAAUGAAGGCAGUAACUGGCGCCGUAACAGUGACAGCUACAGGUCUCAGGGGGGUAGCAGUUGGCGAGGGGGCGGCAGUGACAGCUGGGGCCGCUCAGGCAUGGGUAAUCGAGGUGGCACUGGCUCCUCUGGCAUGGGUAGCAACUGGGACAGCAACUGGGAUGGCCGUCCAGACCCUUGGCAGAGUGACAACCGCGGUGCUUAUCAGCGAGGAAGCAGCGAGAAUGAGCUCCCUCCUCCCCCGACCACCAACCAUGCUAGUCCCUCCAUUCGCAUCCCAGGCAGAGGGGAAGAGAAAGAGGCACAAGACACAGCUAAGGUAACUUAUUACAGAGGUCGUAAUGCUGGCUACCGGCGUGGCAACAGGAUGGGUCUGGUGACGUGACAAGUGGCACCCGGCCAGUGAAGCAGCUGUGAGGAGCUGGACUAUCCGCGUGGCAUGUGGGGGUGAGGCGGCAGCCAGCACCGAAGGAGCCGGGCCCGGAGGAGGCACAGGGUGUAGUCAGAGGCAGUUGGGUGUUUCCACUGCACCCUGUCAAUGCCGGGGAGGUAAGUCUGACGGAACUUUCAUGCAUUUAGAUCUAAAGCUUUGUGUGUGCAGUGCUCAAGGGAAAUGAAAAACUGAUACCCAUCAGUUGUUGUGCAGCCUUCAUGGAUAUGGCACUUGUCCACUUCCAGCUAGCCAUUCAUAUGUAGUUUUUAAGUAUACUUGCGUUUAUUUUAACAGGAUGCGUUCCAUGACCCCAGUACAAAACAUGAAGAUUUGCCAGUGUAUAAAAUCCUAACCUCUGCAUCCAGUGGUUAUGAGGUCUGGGGAUGAAAGAUGAGUGGUCCCCUCUAGAAUAUAUUUCUAGCAUUGCUAAAUAAGGAACUUUACAAAUUCCCUGCAGGGUGACUUCCAUCGUGGCUGGUAAUGCAGUGCUGUUAUCCACACGAGGACGCCAUUCGGUAGUUAAGUUCUCAACAACACUUACCUUGCUCAAAAUGUAAAUCAAUUUGUAGUUAUAUAUUUAUUUAUUUAUUUUUUUACUUAUUUUAUUUAUUUUAUUUUUUUCAUUGGGAAUGAAAUUUGAAAGGUGAAUUUAUUAGAUGGACAUUUGAAAUUACUCUGAUACACUAAACCUUACCAGUUAAUUGUUAAUUCUUUUAUAGUAUAUGGAAAUAUAUUUUAUCAGUAAAGGUAAACAUUUAUUUUUAUAGGAAUUUUUAUAAGAAAAUAUUAUACUUAAACUUAAGCCUGCUAGAUCCUGAGUCAGUUUGCUGGUUAUCAAGAUAACCAAAUAAGUCUAACGAAGGUUUGUGGUUGGGCUACCGACUUCAGCCAUGAAGUCCAAUAAUGAAUAAGUCAUGGUCCCCUAAAUGACGCACCAACUUAGGUAAUUUAAAAACCUUGCAAAGCCUCAAGCUCUGGUUAAGACGAGAUGAUGCAUAUUACUAUUCCUCUGGCCCUUGAGCCUUUGGUGGAUUAAUCCUCCAUCUCGCCCAGGACACAUGGUCACUGCCUUGUCCAGGUCACCACAGUUAUCUCCCUUUAGGUGUUAUCCUUGGUACUAAUUUGAAUUCAGUCAGAAUAUGAAUACAUUUUGUUAAAGUAAAUGGCUUUGCAUUUGUAACCAGCACAGUCGAGAUUUCUGAUUCCAACUUUAAUGGUAUCUUCUGCAUUUUCAGUUUACAGUAUUUUGACAAAAAUAUAUCUUCAGAUGGAAAUAUUUAGGAGUUUAAAGUAUUCAUUCCUUUUUUAGUAAUGAUAGCAACUUAUUGGUUACUAUAAUGGUGAGGAGUAACUUCAUGUAAUGUGAAGGUUGUCUGCCAAGUCACUCAUUUACAAUUGUUGUUGUUUUCAUUGAAAACUAAAGACAUGUACCUACUAUAGUAGCUUGACAUUAUAUUCACAAAGUAUAAAGAAGAGAUUUCUUUAAUUACUGUACUGUGGUGUGUCUGGUUUAACUAAAAACCAUGCACAAUGCAUCUGUUAACCUGUAUUCACUCAGCUUAGGAUUGGGACUGUAGAGGUGUGCCAAGUUUCAUGGUAUCACAAUUUGCCAAUAUUUGUUUCAUGACAUGGGCAUAACUGUAUGGUGGUCAGGUUUGCCUUUAGGCAUCCCAGCCUUGUUUUAACAUCCUGAGGGCAUAUUCCAGAAGUUGCAUCCCAUUUGCAUUAUAAAUUCUCAUAAAAACCUUGGGAAAUAUGCACCCAGGACCUAUAAAAUAAGGCCAGGAAGGCUACAGACAAGGCUGACUACUGCAUGUUAAGAAAUCCGUAUAUAGCAAUGUACGAAGACAAGUUACUGAACAAAGGGACCAAGGAGCGAGUUUUUAGACAAGAUUAGAACCAAUUACCUUUUCUUUUCUAUAGGAUUAAAGGCCUACCUUGAACAAAUUUAGGUAUUGUGCAUAAUUAUGCAGAACCAAUUAAGUAUGUAACUUGGUGCAUCACCAUAAUUUUGGUCAAUUAUUUUGACCCAUAGAAAGUGCUUCUUAGGGAUAUUGAAAAGUGCAUAAUGGAAAGAUAACUGUUUUCAAUUAUGGGUUGUCACAUGAUCAGCAAUGUGUCUAGAGAAGGUAUAAGGAUGUUUCAGUAAUGCAAACCUAGUGAGCAUUUAUGAAUCAGCAUAUACUUUUAGAAUGAGCACUGUCCUAACAGCAAAUAUAGUAUGUAUGUAAAUGAAAGGCAGUGGUUACCUGAGCAUCCACUCACUCACAAGGUUAAGUAACGACUUCUGUUCCCACUUACUACAAAGGCCCCCCCACCUUUUUAUACUGAAUCCUAUCUAUGCCCUUUUUUUUAAAUGCGUUGAUUGUUCAAUCAGAUGCAUGGUGGGUGAUGAGCACUGUAGGACAAGUUGCACUGGCUAGCUACUUGAUGAAUGUUUAUCCCCCUCCCUAAAUCCUUAACAACAUCUGUUCAUGCAGUCACUACCUUGUCUAUUAUAUCAAAGUUGGAUCAAGAGGGAGCACUAACAAAACUGUGGUUAAGUUUCCUGAAACAUUGAUGGUAUGCUCUUAGUAAACAGUUCUGUAGCUGUAUUAAAUGAUGGUCUGGCAUGUUUUUCCUGUUGCUAAUGGCCUAAUGCACCAUGAA